rnacentral:ncRNA from 2 species
CAGAUAUUAAACUGAUAA